GCGCCCAUAGCUCAGCUGGAUAGAGUGUUGGUUUCCGAAGCCAAAGGUCACAGGUUCGACUCCUGUUGGGCGCGCCA
rnacentral:tRNA from 1 species